rnacentral:lncRNA from 1 species
AAAAAAUUAAAGUUGCUGUCUUUCAUAUGUCAAUUGUCCUUAAGUUUUACAUUUUUUUUUUAAUUUAUAUAAAAAAAUAUAUUUUUUGUCAGAAUGUGAAGUACUCACUUUUUAUGAAGGGCUACAGGUCUGUCAAACAGGUUUAAUGGACCACAAUCUCAUUUCAUGAAGGGCUACAAGUCUGUCAAACAGGCUUAAUAGACCACAAUCCCAUUUCAUGAAGGGCUACAAGUCUGUCAAACAGGCUUAAUGGACCACAAUCUCAUUUCAUGAAGGGCUAGCCUACAAGCCUGUAAAACAGGCUUAAUGGACCACAAUCUCAUUUCAUGAAGAGCUACAAGUCUGUCAAAGAGGCUUAAUGGACCUGAAUCUCAUUUUAUGGAUUUGUCGUCAAGGUUAGGUUUUCAUGCCUAUCUUAAUUGCUAUAAGUCAUAGGUCAACUUGGUGUAUGGAAUGCUUUUAAGGUGACUGGCUGGUUUCAUCUAACCUUGACCUCAUUUCGUGGUUAAUUGGUCAAUGUUAUAUUUUGCGAUUUGGUUUGUUUAUAAUAAAUGAGCCCUUAUUUGGUGGAUGGGAUUAUUGUUAGGUGUUUGUUUUUCUGGCAGGUUUUAUCUUACCUUGACCUCAUUUUAUUUUUCAUUUGUCAAUAUUAAAUUUCAUAGAUCUGUCAAUUUAUUAGAUACCAAUAUGUUAACUAUAUUUGAUUGAUAUUGGAUUGGAUUUCUGUAAGGUGAACAUGUCUGUCUUGCAUGAUUCAUCUGACCAUGACCUUUAUUGUAAUGGUUCAUAUUUGAUUAAUGAUGACUUCAUGGAAACUUUAAUUUAUAGAAUAAUUGUAAGGUAUUCGUGUCAAUCUGACAGUGUGCAUUUAAUCCGAAACACAUUUUCAUGAAUCCUAAAUAAAUGUUGAUUUUCUAUUGAUUCGUGAAUUAAACGGAUACAAUUAGAAGAAAUGAAUUAUAUUUGAUAUAUUAAACGAUUUUUUUUUUGCUAGGUUACUUGACCAUGACCUCAUUUUAAUGGUUCAAUAAUUGAUGGUACUAGCAGUAAAACCUAUAUAUUUCAGACUUAACAUACAUUCAAUCACGAGUAGAUAAAUAAAGCAGGAGAGACAGUUUGUGCAUGUAUUCUAAAAUUACAGGGGACAUCAUAUACCUUGAAGCAAUGUUUCUACUUAUUGACAUAAAUAAUCAGACCUUCCAGGCAUACAUACCAUGUAUUUGUAACGGAGGAUGGAACAUAUUUAUAAGUUGUGAUUUUCCAGCAGAACUCAUCUAAUUUAAAGCAUGUUUCAUUCCAAAAUACGAAUGCAUAUUAUGUAUGUGUGAUAUAUCUGACAUACAAAUAUAGUUUGACCAAUGUAUAAAGUCUAAACGUUUGUAAUUGGUUAUUCAAUAGCCUUAUAGGUAGCCAUAACAGCCUCUGUGUGUGCAUGUAGCAGAGAACUGAAACAUAUUUUAGGGUAAAAAGAAACAGAUUCAGAACUUCGUAUGUGCCAUAUUGUGAUUGUUGAAUAGAUUUUUUUUAUUUUAAGUUUUAACGUAUUCUGUGUUUUAUUUUAAGUUUUAACGUAUUCUGUGAUAUACAAUCUAAUUAUUUUUAGGGAUAUAUUUUUGGCACUUAGCAAAACAUG